AAAAAUAAAUAAAAAAUAUAUAAAAAAGCAUAACAAGAAACAUAAUAGUUUUUUUUUUGGAAUUUACAUGUUUUACAAAUAUCAUUUAAUUAUUUAAAAAAAAGAAAUAAGUAGUGAUAACUAAAAAUAACAAAUGGGCCAGUAGUAAGACCAAAUGGGGCACGGGUCAGGAUAUCCCAAUGGGCCUCAACCGACCCGACCCCUUAUUACAACAAGGAAGCGUUACUAAAACAACAUAAACCUAAAACACAAACUGCCAAAAUUCCUUCCCCUUUUCUGAAAAAACACGAUUCCUCUGAAACCAUCUUUUCUCUCAGAAGCUCUCUCCUUUCCAAAUCGAAAAAAAAGAAGAACUUGCAUCUUAGUUUUGAAAUCAAUAAACAGUUCCGAAAAUCACACAAUUGAUUUUGAAAAUCUUCAAGCAAGUUUCUAAAAUCAAACAUAUUAGUUUCAAAAAAUUACAUCUCAGUUUUGAAAGUCACCGGCUUGGUUUCAAACAUCUUCAAACAGUUCGGUUUCGAAAAUCUUCAUUUUGAGUUUCGCUUUGGAGUCUAUGGUGAGAUACGAGUGACACCAAACACACAUACGUAAGAUAAACCGAGUAGCGAAAUAGAAUGCAACAAAGCAAAGUCAAACAUGGUUUGCAUAUAUGCCAAUUUGUUGCUUUGCUACAUAGGACAAACUAUGCUUACCACAUCAGAUGCCUACAACAAUGGUUUUGCACAUGAAGAUAGAAGACAAAAUACAAGCUGUAUAAUAAAGGGGCCCACAUUUGUAAUGUUUUUGUUAUUUUUGUGUGUAAAAUAAUAUUAAUUUUUAAUGAGAUGGUUUUAUUUUUGUAAACAAAGUUGUAAAGUAACAUUUGAUAUAAAAACAAAAUUAGGAUUUAAAUGAUGAUAUUUAAAUUUUG
rnacentral:lncRNA from 1 species